rnacentral:rRNA from 1 species
UACGUAGGGUCCGAGCGUUGUCCGGAAUUAUUGGGCGUAAAGGGCUCGUAGGCGGUUUGUCGCGUCGGGAGUGAAAACCUCAUGCUUAACAUGUGGCUUGCUUCCGAUACGGGCAGACUGGAGGUAUGCAGGGGAGAAUGGAAUUCCUGGUGUAGCGGUGAAAUGCGCAGAUAUCAGGAGGAACACCGGUGGCGAAGGCGGUUCUCUGGGCAUUACCUGACGCUGAGGAGCGAAAGUGUGGGGAGCGAAC